GGAGGUAUAACUUGGCAGUAGAGUGCAUGCCUAGCAUGCACAAAGUCCUGGGUUUAAUCCUCAGUACCUCCA
rnacentral:tRNA from 1 species